GUAGCUGCAUAGCUCAGUUGGUUAGAGUGUGGUGCUAACAACACCAAGGUUGCAGGUUCAACUUCCGGAAGGGACAGCUGCA